GUUGCGUCGGAGCCCUUCCUUUGACGCAGAUGAAGAGUGCUGCACGCAGCAGGGCCGCGUGUCAGCAGGAGAAGCUGCCAAGCUCUCCCCGCCCAUCACACCCUGCCAGGGCCUGUCUGUAAGAUUGGUGUUUUGGAGGACCUCUGAGCAUUUCUGAAGAACUAAAGAAUUAUUCCUCACAGCAACCCAUAAGGUCUUUGGUUCAGAGGGUGCUGUGAGGCCUCCAGGUGCUCUGAAAGACCCCUCUGACUGAACCUGGAGCUGGAGGAAGGCAGGCUUUAGCGGAGAGGAGAUCCAGGGAGGGGGAGGCAGAACCAAAGCUGAGUUUCAAACUGGCAGAAAAAAUCGAGGGAGAUAAAAUGAUGCAGGAAUCUGAGUGAGACUGCAGCUAAAUCAAAGAGGUGAGAAUUAAUGAUCUACCCUGAGGUAUAAUGCACAUGGUAUAGUUUAGGUGGCCCAGCAGAAGCAGCAAAUCAAGCUUAGUGAGAGGUUUGGAAUCAGGAAAUCUGAAAAGGAGA
rnacentral:lncRNA from 1 species